rnacentral:SRP_RNA from 1 species
GCCGGGUGCGGUGGCGCGCGCCUGUAAUCCAAGCUACCGGGAGGCUGAGGCUGGCGGAUCGUUUGAGCUCAGGAGCUCUGAGCUGCAGCGGACUAUGCCGAUCGGGUGUCCGCACUAAGUUCGGCAUCGAUAUGGUGCUCUUGGGGGAGCCCGGGACUGCCAGGUCGCCCAAGGAGGGGUGCCCAGGUCGGAAACGGAGCAGGUCAAAGCAACACACACCAUCAUUAUACCUGUCUCUAUUUCACACAGCAGCUUCAUCGCAACUUUUCUUUUCUUUU